rnacentral:rRNA from 1 species
UACAGGGGGUGCAAACGUUGCUCGGAAUUAUUGGGCGUAAAGCGCGCGUAGGCGGUUAUCUAAGUCGGAUGUGAAAGCCCUCGGCUUAACUGAGGAAGUGCACCCGAAACUGGAUAGCUAGAGUACGAAAGAGGGUCGCGGAAUUCCCGGUGUAGAGGUGAAAUUCGUAGAUAUCGGGAGGAACACCGGUGGCGAAGGCGGCGACCUGGGUCGAGACUGACGCUGAGGCGCGAAAGCGUGGGGAGCAAACAGG